AACAACCCCUUAAAUGUGCAAUACCUAAGUUUAUAUCGGAUAGUUAGACAUAAGUUUGUCACGAUUAAACAAGUGCCGGGACAAGCAAACCCUGAUAUUUCUUUUCGUCGAACCCUCAUUGGUCCUCGAUUGGCAGCAUGGGAUGAUCUGCUAACCCGACUGGGAGCCAUCCAACUGUCAGUGGAACCGGAUAUCUUUAAAUGGAAAUUGCAUCAGAGUGGUAAGUUUUCGGUUAAAUCCAUGUACGAUGCACUGGUUCAUAACGAGGUACCAAUAGAUAAUAGGAAAUUGUGGAAGCUUAAGAUUCCCCUAUAA
rnacentral:rRNA from 1 species